CAGUGAGGGGCAUGAUGUACUACUACGAAGCUCUCAAAAUGCUGACCUUUCUGGAUUCCGCCUCUGAACAUGACUUAAAG
rnacentral:snoRNA from 2 species